rnacentral:rRNA from 1 species
AAAUUGAAGAGUUUGAUCAUGGCUCAGAUUGAACGCUGGCGGCAGGCCUAACACAUGCAAGUCGAGCGGUAGCACAGAGAGCUUGCUCUCGGGUGACGAGCGGCGGACGGGUGAGUAAUGUCUGGGAAACUGCCUGAUGGAGGGGGAUAACUACUGGAAACGGUAGCUAAUACCGCAUAACGUCGCAAGACCAAAGUGGGGGACCUUCGGGCCUCAUGCCAUCAGAUGUGCCCAGAUGGGAUUAGCUAGUAGGUGGGGUAACGGCUCACCUAGGCGACGAUCCCUAGCUGGUCUGAGAGGAUGACCAGCCACACUGGAACUGAGACACGGUCCAGACUCCUACGGGAGGCAGCAGUGGGGAAUAUUGCACAAUGGGCGCAAGCCUGAUGCAGCCAUGCCGCGUGUGUGAAGAAGGCCUUCGGGUUGUAAAGCACUUUCAGCGGGGAGGAAGGCGAUAAGGUUAAUAACCUUGUCGAUUGACGUUACCCGCAGAAGAAGCACCGGCUAACUCCGUGCCAGCAGCCGCGGUAAUACGGAGGGUGCAAGCGUUAAUCGGAAUUACUGGGCGUAAAGCGCACGCAGGCGGUCUGUCAAGUCGGAUGUGAAAUCCCCGGGCUUAACCUGGGAACUGCAUUCGAAACUGGCAGGCUAGAGUCUUGUAGAGGGGGGUAGAAUUCCAGGUGUAGCGGUGAAAUGCGUAGAGAUCUGGAGGAAUACCGGUGGCGAAGGCGGCCCCCUGGACAAA